rnacentral:rRNA from 2 species
CUGGUGUCAGCCGCCGCGGUAAUACCAGCACCCCGAGUGGUCGGGACGAUUAUUGGGCCUAAAGCAUCCGUAGCCGGUCUUGCAAGUCUUCCGUUAAAUCCAGCUGCUUAACGGAUGGGCUGCGGAAGAUACUACAAGACUAGGAGGCGGAAGAGGCAAGCGGUACUCAGUGGGUAGGGGUAAAAUCCUCUGAUCCAUUGAAGACCACCAGUGGCGAAGGCGGCUUGCCAGAACGCGCUCGACGGUGAGGGAUGAAAGCUGGGGGAGCAAACCGGAUUAGAUACCCGGGUAGUCCCAGCUGUAAACGAUGCAGACUCGGUGAUGGGCCGGCUUCAUGCCGGCUCAGUGCCGCAGGGAAGCCGUUAAGUCUGCCGCCUGGGGAGUACGGUCGCAAGACUGAAACUUAAAG